UCUGCCGGUUGCGAACGAAGCGGAGCUUAUAAAUUAGGAAAGUCCGAGCUGCGUAGGACAGGAAAGUUGCUAACGGCAACCGAGCCGUGCCAAAACACGGUUUAGGGAAAGUACCACAGAGACAAUAUAGUUCUGCCUUUACUGGUGGGAUGAAGGUGAAAAGCCCUCGGUAAGUUCUUUGGCGCAAGCCAGAGAGAGCCAGGGACCGCCGUAGCGAUACGGAUGUGUGGGCAAACCCUUUCUGCAGCAAGGCAGGAUGGCGGUUGUGGGAUUAGUCUCGUGUUCGGGGCUCCACACUGCCUGCCGCAUGAGUCUGUCAGCAAUGGCAGACCUAGAGAGAUGAUCGUACACCGCUUUUAAUCGGGCGGUGACAGAACUCGGCUUAUGAUUUGUAGAAGGU
rnacentral:RNase_P_RNA from 1 species